CAACUACUCCCUCCGUCCGGAAAUACUUGUCCUAAAAAUAGUUGUAUCUAGACUUAUUUUAGUUAUAGAUACAACCAUUUUAUCCAUUUCCAGGACAAGUAUUUCGGGACGGAGUGAGUACUUU
rnacentral:pre_miRNA from 1 species